CGCGUAGGCGGUCGAUCACGUCCGGGGUGAAAGCUUUCGGCUUAACCGGAAAAGUGCCUUGGAUACGGAUCGUCUUGAGGGAGGUAGGGGCAAGUGGAACUUCCGGUGGAGCGGUGAAAUGCGUUGAUAUCGGAAGGAACGCCGGUGGCGAAAGCGACUUGCUGGAUCUCUUCUGACGCUGAUGCGCGAAAGCUAGGGGAGCAAAACG
rnacentral:rRNA from 1 species